UGAGCAGUACUGCGGCCUCCUCUCCUCUCCUAACCUCGCUCUCGCGGCCUAGCUUUACCCGCCCGCCUGCUCGGCGACCAGAACACCUUCCACCAUGACCACCUCAGCAAGUUCCCACUUAAAUAAAGGCAUCAAGCAGGUGUACAUGUCCCUGCCUCAGGGUGAGAAAGUCCAGGCCAUGUAUAUCUGGAUCGAUGGUACUGGAGAAGGACUGCGCUGCAAGACCCGGACCCUGGACAGUGAGCCCAAGUGUGUGGAAGGUGAGACAGCAAUGUGGAGUGGAGCACAUGCUGGGUGGGAUCUGCAGAGGGGUGGGCAGCAGCCUUUGACUCAGCCUCUGGAUUAGGCCUCUUUCUUCUGUUUGUAAAGGUUUUCUAAGGCAGGGCUUUUCAGACUUUAUUCAGUCAACAUUAAGCUCCUACACUGCCUCAAAGCAGAGCGACGAUGGAACCCUUUAUUUCAAUGGAAUUGUGCACGUAGGCCAGUGUAUUGAAGAAAAACUAAGUCUGGUUUAUGGAGAGUUGGCAUGGGGCUUAGAGGUUGCCGACCUGGACAUCCCCACUUAGCUGGCUCUAAGGCACCCUCAGAAAACCACUGCUCUAACCUGAGAAUGCCAUCUAGUUUACAAACUCUUAGAAAACUGUGUUUAAUACUCAUAUCACUGGCUUCUAGAUGUGAAGCAAAUGCUCUACAAUGGUUUUUAAAUAGGACUAAUUUUUAGUUGAUGCCACUUUUGGAAAUUCUUAAACUAAUUGCGUAUCCCUCUAGGAGCUACAGUUAGAUUAUAGUUGUGACCUUCAUUUUUCAGUCUAGAACAAGCCAUAGUCUUCCCUCUUCUGGAAAGGGGCCAGAGGAAAGUAUCAUAUCCUACCUAGUUUAGGGUAGUUUACUUUUCCUUUUUGAGUAAGUGAAUGAUCAUAAUACAAAGCCUAUAUUGUGUACUUGCUAUGUGGCAGAUGAUAGUGCACAGACACUGAAGAUACAAAGUGAGAGUCUCGUCUCUGCCUUCAGAGAACUCAGUCAGCUAGAGAGACCAAGCAGCCUUCAAAACAGUGGGAAAGGUGGAUAGGUGAUAAGGGAGCAUCCUAGAGUAAGUCAUCCUGCUAGUCGUCUGUUCCCUCAUCUAUAAAAUAAGGACAUAACUUGCCAGAAUACACUGGGGGCAUAAGAAGGAUGCAACACAUUACCUAAUGGAAGAAUCAGAAUCCUUCACUAUCUCAAUAUUUUAAGUGAUUGAUAGGAUGGUAGUGAUAACAGAAUGCUUCAGCUUGUCUCCUGGAAGACAUUUGGGAAGGGAGUAUCUGAUAUAUUUCUUUUAAGGAAUUGGUACAAUGGUCUUACUUGGAACUCAAAUAGGAAGGGCUAUAAGAUCAGGUACAGGUGCCAGGGUAUACAUAUUAAUGAUGGCAUUUAUACCUUAAUGAAUUCCUGGAAAAGAGAUAUUUAGAGAUGGGAAGGUGAGUGAAGGGCUGGCUGUAUUUGCAUUGCUUGGAAAGCUCCUGUAUGUUUUAAAUGUAAUUUUCCCUCUUUUUGCCCCAGAGUUGCCUGAGUGGAAUUUCGAUGGCUCUAGUACUUUACAGUCUGAGGGUUCCAACAGUGACAUGUAUCUCGUGCCUGCUGCCAUGUUUCGGGACCCCUUCCGUAAGGACCCUAACAAGCUGGUGUUAUGUGAAGUUUUCAAGUACAAUCGAAGGCCUGCAGAGACCAAUUUGAGGCACACCUGUAAACGGAUAAUGGACAUGGUGAGCAACCAGCACCCCUGGUUUGGCAUGGAGCAGGAGUAUACCCUCAUGGGGACAGAUGGGCACCCCUUUGGUUGGCCUUCCAACGG
rnacentral:lncRNA from 10 species